CGGCGUGCCUAAUACAUGCAAGUCGAACGCAGUUGUGGUUGAAAUGAUAUGAAGAACUUGUUCAGAUUUGAUUUUCAACAUUGCAAUGAGUGGCGAACGGGUGAGUAACACGUGGGAAACCUACCUCUUAGCAGGGGAUAACAUUUGGAAACAAAUGCUAAUACCGUAUAAUAAUUAAAACCGCAUGGUUUUAGUUUAAAAGAUGGUCUUGCUAUCACUAAGAGAUGGUCCCGCGGUGUAUUAGUUAGUUGGUGAGGUAAUGGCUCACCAAGACAAUGAUACAUAGCCGAGUUGAGAGACUGACCGGCCACAAUGGGACUGAGACACGGCCCAUACUCCUACGGGAGGCAGCAGUAGGGAAUCUUCCACAAUGGACGAAAGUCUGAUGGAGCAACGCCGCGUGUGUGAUGAAGGGUUUCGGCUCGUAAAACACUGUUGUAAGAGAAGAAUGACAUUGAGAGUAACUGUUCAAUGUGUGACGGUAUCUUACCAGAAAGGAACGGCUAAAUACGUG
rnacentral:rRNA from 1 species